UGCCAGCCGCCGCGGUAAUACGGAGGGAGCGAGCGUUAAUCGGAAUUACUGGGCGUAAAGCGCGCGUAGGCGGCUUUGUAAGUCGGAUGUGAAAGCCCCGGGCUCAACCUGGGAAUGGCAUUCGAUACUGCAUGGCUAGAGUAUGGUAGAGGGAAGUGGAAUUUCCGGUGUAGCGGUGAAAUGCGUAGAUAUCGGAAGGAACACCAGUGGCGAAGGCGGCUUUCUGGCCCAUUCUUGACGCUGAGGCGCGAAAGCUAGGGGAGCGAACGGGAUUAGAUA
rnacentral:rRNA from 1 species